rnacentral:rRNA from 1 species
GCAUAUCAAUAAGCGGAGGAAAAGAAACUAACAAGGAUUCCCCUAGUAACUGCGAGUGAAGCGGGAAAAGCUCAAAUUUAAAAUCUGGCGGUUUCACCGUCCGAGUUGUAGUCUGGAGAAGUGUUUUCCGCGUUGGACCGUGUACAAGUCUCUUGGAAUAGAGCGUCAUAGAGGGUGAGAAUCCCGUCUUUGACACGGACUCCCAAUGCUUUUGUGAUACACUCUCAAAGAGUCGAGUUGUUUGGGAAUGCAGCUCAAAAUGGGUGGUAAAUUCCAUCUAAAGCUAAAUAUUGGCGAGAGACCGAUAGCGAACAAGUACCGUGAGGGAAAGAUGAAAAGCACUUUGGAAAGAGAGUUAAACAGUACGUGAAAUUGUUGAAAGGGAAACGUUUGAAGUCAGUCGCGUCUUCUGAGGAUCAACCUUACGGUGCACUGCUCAGUUGACGGGUCAGCAUCAAUUUUGACUGCAGGAAAAAUCAAGUUGGAAUGUGGCUCCUCUCGGGGAGUGUUAUAGCCUUCUUUUACACUGCAAUUGGGAUUGAGGAACUCAGCAAGCUUUUAUAGUCGGACUUCGGUCACGUAACUUGCUUAGGAUGCUGGCAUAAUGGCUUUAAGCGACCCGUCUUGAAACACGGACCAAGGAGUCUAACAAACCUGCGAGUAUUUGGGUGUUAAACCCAUCUGCGCAAUGAAAGUGAAAGUUGAGACUCCUGUCGUGGGAGGCAUCGACGCCCGGACCAGACCUUUUGUGACGGAUCUGCGGUAGAGCAUGUUUGUUGGGACCCGAAAGAUGGUGAACUAUGCCUGAAUAGGGUGAAGCCAGAGGAAACUCUGGUGGAGGCUCGUAGCGAUUCUGACGUGCAAAUCGAUCGUCGAAUUYGGGYAYAGGGGYKAMAGACUAAUCGAACCAUCUAGUAGCUGGUUCCUGCCGA